UCCCUGGUGGCUCAGAUGGUAAAGCAUCUGCUUGCAACGCGGAAGACCCUGGUUCAAUCCCUGAGUCGGGAA
rnacentral:tRNA from 1 species